rnacentral:rRNA from 1 species
UACAUGGGGUGCAAACGUUGCUCGGAAUUAUUGGGCGUAAAGCGCGCGUAGGCGGUUACUCAAGUCGGAUGUGAAAGCCCUCGGCUUAACUGAGGAAGUGCACCCGAAACUGAGUAGCUAGAGUACUAAAGAGGGUCGCGGAAUUCCCGGUGUAGAGGUGAAAUUCGUAGAUAUCGGAAGGAACACCAGUGGCGAAAGCGGCUUCCUGGUCCAGCACCGACGUUCAGGCACGAAAGCGUGGGGAGCAAACAGG